rnacentral:rRNA from 1 species
AAAUGAAUUGACGGGGGCCCGCACAAGCGGUGGAGCAUGUGGUUUAAUUCGACGCAACGCGAAGAACCUUACCGGGGCUUGACAUCUUUCUGACCGCCUGGGAAACCAGGUCUUCUUCCUUCGGGAAGACAGAAAGACAGGUGGUGCAUGGUUGUCGUCAGCUCGUGUCGUGAGAUGUUGGGUUAAGUCCCACAACGAGCGCAACCCUUGUCCUUAUUUGCCAGCCUGUUUACAGGUGCACUUUAAGGAGACUGCCGUAGAUAAUACGGAGGAAGGUGGGGAUGACGUCAAAUCCUCAUGCCCCUUACGUCCCGGGCUACACACGUGCUACAAUGGUCUGUACAAAGGGUGACCAAGGAGCGAUCCGGAGUCAAUCCCAAAAAGCAGGCCCCAGUUCGGAUUGGAGGCUGCAACUCGCCUCCAUGAAGUCGGAAUCGCUAGUAAUCGCGGAUCAGCAUGCCGCGGUGAAUCCGUUCCCGGGCCUUGUACACACCGCCCGU